rnacentral:rRNA from 1 species
GAGCGGACAGAUGGGAGCUUGCUCCCUGAUGUUAGCGGCGGACGGGUGAGUAACACGUGGGUAACCUGCCUGUAAGACUGGGAUAACUCCGGGAAACCGGGGCUAAUACCGGAUGGUUGUCUGAACCGCAUGGUUCAGACAUAAAAGGUGGCUUCGGCUACCACUUACAGAUGGACCCGCGGCGCAUUAGCUAGUUGGUGAGGUAACGGCUCACCAAGGCGACGAUGCGUAGCCGACCUGAGAGGGUGAUCGGCCACACUGGGACUGAGACACGGCCCAGACUCCUACGGGAGGCAGCAGUAGGGAAUCUUCCGCAAUGGACGAAAGUCUGACGGAGCAACGCCGCGUGAGUGAUGAAGGUUUUCGGAUCGUAAAGCUCUGUUGUUAGGGAAGAACAAGUGCCGUUCAAAUAGGGCGGCACCUUGACGGUACCU